rnacentral:rRNA from 1 species
CCUACGGGAGGCUGCAGUGAGGAAUAUUGGUCAAUGGACGAGAGUCUGAACCAGCCAAGUAGCGUAAAGGAUGACUGCCCUAUGGGUUGUAAACUUCUUUUAUAUGGGAAUAAAAUGUUCCACGUGUGGGAUUUUGUAUGUACCAUAUGAAUAAGGAUCGGCUAACUCCGUGCCAGCAGCCGCGGUAAUACGGAGGAUCCGAGCGUUAUCCGGAUUUAUUGGGUUUAAAGGGAGCGUAGGUGGAUUGUUAAGUCAGUUGUGAAAGUUUGCGGCUCAACCGUAAAAUUGCAGUUGAAACUGGCAGUCUUGAGUACAGUAGAGGUGGGCGGAAUUCGUGGUGUAGCGGUGAAAUGCUUAGAUAUCACGAAGAACUCCGAUUGCGAAGGCAGUUCACUGGACUGCAACUGACACUGAGGCUCGAAAGUGUGGGUAUCAAACAGGAUUAGAUACCCUUGUAGUC